UCUCUUUAUUAUUCUUACAGCCACAGGUGAAUCAACAGUUCUCUCAAAAUAAAGAGCUAUAUAAAGAAAGUAGCUGGAAUGAUUCACCUUCCACACUGAGGAGCUUUCACAGCUCACGUCAGAGAAUUGAGGAUUUUCACAGGGCCCCUGCGAAGUGCCUCCCUUCUGUAUCUUCUUUGUAGAUGAACCCAGAAGGGAGGGUCACUGGGUGCUGUUGUCAUGGCAGCUUUUUGUUUUCCAGUUGCAGCUCCGGAGUAAAUAGUCUCUCAUUUACAGCCUCCAAAUCGCACGAGUGUCGCCAUGGUUAUUCUUGCUGUUCCUCUGAGCUUCCCGACUUCCUCCUCGGAUGUGGUUCGCGCUGCCUGGAGCAGGUGUGCGCCCUUCACAGGAGUGAAAAAUGAAUCAAUUCGCAGUGCUCCCUGUACCGGUGCGGUGCGACGCGUCUGCCUGCGCGUGAUUGGGUGCAACCCGUGUGCAAAGGCUCCUGGUUUAGCCGCGACGGUCCCGGUAGCUGUCGGCAGCUGUGGACGCGCAGCCCUGGCUGUGGUAAACGGCUGCAGGCGAGGAAACUGAGGUUUGGGAGUUCCUGAGACCUUCCCCAUCUUCUCCAGGCCAGGGCUCCAAUCCGCGGUCUUCCGUGAAGGUGCCAGGACCACUUGCACAGACAACUGCACCAGAGCAGGGCUCCUUUCUGCAGCUGCUCAGGCCUCACUUUGCUCCUCACGGACUGACGUAAGAACAGCACCCCCUGAGCACACACAGCCGGACAGAGAGGCUCUGAGCUGGUCAAGGCAGAGUCCCCUGGGCAGAGCGGCUCCGUCUCCUGGGCUGAGUAUGUGGGGACAAUGAUUGGAGCCCAGACAACAGACGGUGGCCCUAUCCGUGGACACUGGGAUCUAAGGCAGCAGACCGGCAUCUGGAAAGACGGGUCCUGGGAAAAGACAGAACAGCAAUUGGAACCAAAGUCUCCGCAGCCCUUGGACGCCCGCUCUGCACCACAGGGCCCUCUACUGGCCACAGAGGAAACUUCCAUCCUUGGGUGCAGCUGGGACAGAGGAGGGAGCACCUCCGGCCUGGCCCAGUGGCCCCUAAGCUCACAAUCGGUAAGUGUGCGCUCUCUGACCCUGGUGCAUGGAGUGCACAGGUGAAACAGGAGCUCCAGCAGGUGGGUCCUGACCAGGGGCAGCACCAGGUGACGGCCAUGAAGGAAUGGAGGGCACUCGUCCUGCGGCUCCCCCGUGAGCACUGCAGGUGCCCCCACUGGCCAGCUGUCUCCUCCGUUGCGACAGUUGGGGCCUUCAGUGCUUAAAUCUCCUUCUUCCUGACAGGCCCAGGCAACCAGCCCAGGACGGCAUCCGCCUUCUUUGUUCCUACAGGCCUGAUUUCACCUUCUAUCAGUGCAAGACUGUUCUGGAUUUUUCCUUUUAUUAAAGAGCAUGCUUGCCUUGCAGACAAUGUGACAAUGUUGAAAAAUACAGAAGCAAAGAUAGAUAUCCCUCUCAAUCCAACCCCCCAAAGAGAAGGCCCAGUAUCUCUUUUCAGAUAAAAAAUCCCAAGGGGAAAAUGGAGGCGAGGGGAUUGUGGAAUGGCCAUCCCCCCCUUCCCCCCUGUGGGGAGGUGGUGAUUUCUCACUUUCCCUAACUCUGCGGGGUGCACACACCUUUAGCAAACUAAAAUUUAAAUUUUAAUUUUAAAAAGCAUAUUAUUUAUACAUUCCCAAUAAUGUUGCAUAUGGUGUUGUUAGUUAAUGUUACAUCACAGUAACAUUAGGAAAUGUUUAACACCUUUUUUUAUUAUUAUUUUUUAAUUUGUUAGAGGGUGCUUGCACUUCCUGGAGAAAGACCCAGACAGGGAAAAUGGGAAAGCACAACUGAUGGGGUAUAGUCGCACGGCAGUCUCUUCUCCGUUUCUCCUCUCAGGCACAAAUGCACACGUGCUCGGUGUCUGUUUCAAGCUGCCACAUUUGGGAUUCAAACCACCCCGUCAACAAUGUGGGAUCCAGCCACCUUAACCACCACACCCUGGGCUAGCUCAUUUUAACACUGCGUUAACAAUCUAGCCACGACUGAGCCUGUGGCUGGUCCGUAAUUUAGUUAUUCCCUUUAUUGACAUCCCAUUGUUUAACGUUUAGGGCUGGGAAUGGCCCUGUACCAAAGAGCCUGUAGGAAAGUCCUGGUGGUUAUUGGAAGUGAAAUCACAUCCAGGGAGGCCUAUUGGUCUAGACGAUCUGAAAGCUCGCGAUAGCCAUGACCCAGUGGCCACCUGGAUGGGCAGUGACAGAGUCGCCACUGGCAAUAUAAGGGCGGCCAUUUCUCCCGCUCCACCCUGAGCAGUGAGGCAGGUGGGCACUGCUUUUCAUUUUCGUUUGAGUGUGCAUUUAUUGGAUCAUCAGUCCAACUGAGCAUUUCCAUGUGUGUGGCUGGAGGCUCUGAGGACCAGUCUCUGGCCUGUCUAUGGGACCAAAAAUUGGGAAAUAAGACCAACGAGGGAUGGGUAGUUGAAAAGCCACCUCGAUUCUUGGUAAAGACAAUGCUGGAGAAGCAGCCUCAAGUGAGAGCAGGUGGACGUGCAGCCGGAUUGCCAAGCCCGCGGCACCCCUUCUCCCACCCCAGACAGUGCUGUCUGGACAGAUGGCCAGACACACCUUCUCGGGGUCUUCCAAGGCCCUCCGUGCAGAAGAGAAUCAUCUGACCCUCGAAGGGAUAAGGAGGGCAGUCCUGCCAAUUAGCUACCAGCAUCGUGGUCUCCCCCACCCGAGUGCCAUGUGGCCUGCUGCGACCCACAUGUGUCACGGCGUCCUCACAGCAGCCCCAUGAGGAGGGACCUGUGGUCCACACUGAGGUCUUGUCAGGUCCAGCGAAUUGCCAGUUUCACAGACAAGGUACCAUUAGGGUGGCUUGCCACCAACCCCCAUGCAAGGGACGUGUCACCCAGGAGCCGAGGAUUGUGGCACAAGCCCAGCGCUCCAGAGCCAGGCACUUACGACCUGAGAAUACUCAUUUAUCUGCUGCCCAUCGCGAUGCCAGGAAGUGAGCAUGCUACUGCGGGUACUUUUCUGGAGGGGUGGGAACAGAUUCUGAUGCGGGAAUGAUGAUAAGCUUCGGGAGAGCGCGUGACUCGUUUUAAUGCUGUUUGGAGAAACAUCAAAAGCAACCACAGAUGCCUCUGUCUGCCUGGAGACUCAGCUAUUCCCAGGAAGUACUCACAUACACGCUACAGCUGGGGAGCUCGUCAUCGCCACUGUGUUAUCUUUUUCAGUUAUGAAAGUAAAUCAUAUUAAUUGAAAUAGUUCAAAAUUAUAGUAAAACAUUUAGCAAUAGGUGACAGCUAGCUGUCCCUUUCAUCAGCCUAAAAUAUGCUUCCGUAACAAUAACUCCUUACAUAAAUAAUAAAUUACUUUGUAUAUUAAAAAAUAUACUAAUAAGUAA